AUUACCAAGCCUAACAUUAAAAUUUUUGAUAGCCGAUAAAAAUUUCGCAGGAAUAUGGAUUUGGAUGUGAAAAAUGGUAAUAUAAUGGUAUGAUAAUAAAGAAAAUAGUCAUUUACAAAUUUUCUUCUCCUACAUUCCUACAUUAUCCAUAUCCAACUAUUUCCUGAAUCUUUGACAUUGCCUCGGGCAGAAUUACAAUUUUCAGGCAAGAAGGUUUCAAGACAAAGAGUGCCAUAAUUGUAAAUAUGGCUUAUGUAAUGCUCACUCACAAUAGCCGUUGAUCACAAUACUAGCAAAAUUUACCUAUCUUAGAAGUACAGGAGUUCCGAAGAAUUAUUUCUACUGCAUGGAACAAAAAAAUGUUGUUAUUUUUCAUGUAUGUUUAAAUAGAAUCACAAAUAAACAUCAAUUUGUGAAUUUA